AUUGAGUGGGAAAGAUUGGUUGUGGUUGAACCACCCACUUCAGGCCUAUUUGGAUGAUGGGCCAAAAAUCCUAUGUGAUUCGUAGAUUGGAUCAGUAUAACCAGCAAAAUCAUAAGAUAACCGACUGAGCUAGACCUAUAUGCAUAAAUACCCAAAAGUAGCUUUAGAGUGGGUCGGCCCGAAUUCUAUAAGGCUAAAAUAAAGACCUCA
rnacentral:lncRNA from 1 species